CGAACGCUGGCGGCGUGGCUAAAACAUGCUGUCGAAUGCGAACGUUUUUUUCGGAGAAAACUAGAGUGGCGAAAGGGUGAGGAAUACUUGGGUAACGUACCUUGGGCACGAGGAUAGCUGUGGGAAACUGCAGGUAAUACUCGAUAAUGCCCCGGUGUCGCAGGACGCCGGGGCCAAACGAUGGGGAUCCUUCGGGACCUAUCGGCCUUUGAGCGGCCCAAGUCCUAUCAGCUUGUUGGUGAGGUAACGGCUCACCAAGGCUACGACGGGUACCGGGACUGAGAGGUUGGCCCGGCACAUUGGGACUGAGACACUGCCCAGACUCCUACGGGAGGCUGCAGUAACGAAUAUUCCGCAAUGGGCGAAAGCCUGACGGAGCGACGCCGCGUGUGGGAAGAAGCUCUUCGGAGUGUAAACCACAGUCAGGGAUUACCAAGCAAUGAGGAUGAGGACGAAUAGUUCUCGGCGUUGAGGAGUCCCAGAGGAAGCCAUGGCUAACUUCGUGCCAGCAGCCGCGGUAAGACGAAGGUGGCUAGCGUUGUUCGGAAUCACUGGGCUUAAAGAGCACGUAGGCGGCCUGUCAAGUGUCGUGUGAAAUCCCCCGGCUCAACCGAGGAAUGGCAUGGCAAACUGGCAGGCUUGAGGCAGGUAGAGGCGCGUGGAACUCUUGGUGGAGCGGUGGAAUGCGUAGAUAUCAAGAGGAACGCCAGCGGCGAAAGCGAUGCGCUGGGCCUGUCCUGACGCUGAGGUGCGAAAGCCAGGGGAGCAAACGGGAUUAGAUACCCCGGUAGUCCUGGCCCUAAACGAUGUCCAUU
rnacentral:rRNA from 1 species